rnacentral:lncRNA from 1 species
CCCUCUUCAUCUCAAAUUCAGAAAGCGCCCGUCAUUUCUCGUUAGGGAGGCUGGAUAAUUUCGGAAAUUGAUGGAUGCUUAUAGCAUACACAAGAAGAGCAUUUUUGCAACAACAGAACCUUUUAUCUGGCUUACAGGCAGCUAAAAACAUCUCCAACCCAUGCUUUUUAGCUGUCUUUACUGAGACUAAUGUUCACAAACAUCAUUUUGAAAGAGGGCUGCAGUAUGCCAAAGUGGGAAGAGCGCAUCUCAGGAUGCAGACGCACUCGGGGGCUGGGUGUCCCCGGGGAGGUCAUUUCUCCCCUCUGAGCCUCAAUUUCUUUAUCCGCCAUGUGGGCUUAUGUGAGCAAAGGAGGCUGGCCCAGAUGAGCCGCUGGUGCUUGAAGGCUCUUAGGCUGAACCCAGAAUUUCAAGAGCGUGUUCUUGUGCAGGCGCUAGGUCCAAGUGGCUUACUGUGGGGAUCUGGGGUCUCAGAGGACUGACCCCACAAAAUGUGUCCCCUCUCCCCAGCCUGGGCAGGCAAGGCUGGGCCUGCAGACUCCUCACCAGCCCUUCAAGCUCAGGACCCCAAGCCAAAUUCCUUAUCACCUCCCCUGCCCCCACCUUUUCCACUCUCCCCCCAUGCGCGUCCUCCCACCGCCCGGCUCACUGCGCACAGCCCCGGGGACUUCUUGACGAUUCUCAAUCCUGACAGGCAGUUGGAGACUCAGCGCCUUGCAGUUGACCUCUGCCCAGAAUGCUCUUGCCCCAGAUCCUCACGUGGCCCCCACCUGGCUCCUCUGGUCCUGCUCAGAUGUCUCCCAUGGAGGAGGCCUUCUCUGACCCUCGGCCUAAUGAGCACCCGGUCCCUCCACGUCUCCUCCGUCUGCUUUGUGGUCCUUCACAGUGCUUAUCACUAGCCAGCCCUGGUGUCUGGUGGUUAAGAGCCAGUGCUCUCACUGCCGGGGCCCGGGUUCGUUUCCUGGUCAGGGAACCACAUCACCCGCCUGUUGGGUGUCAUACUGUGGCAGCUGCAUGUUGCUGUGAUGCUGAAAGCUAUGUCACUGGUAUUUCAGAUACCAGCAGGGUCACCCGUGAUGGACAGGUUUCGGCGGAGCUUCCAGACUAAGACAGACUGGGAAGAAGGACCCGGCCACCCACUUCUGAAAAAAUUGGCCAUGAUAACGCUGUGAAUAGCAGCAGAGCAUCAUCUGAAACAGUGCCAGAGGAUGAGAGGAUGGCGCAAAAAGAUGGGCAGGCGUCUGCUCUGCUCUGCUCUACACGGGGUCGCUAGGAGUUGGAAUCGACUCAACGGCACUAAGCACAAACUCCUCACUACCUGCCGUGUGCAGUCUGACUGUCCGCGCCGGAAUAUCAGCUUCCUACAGUCUCAUGUUCAUUGCCGUACCCCCAGCACCUAGAACCUGGCACCUAGCAUGUAGUCGGUGCUCUAAAAGGUAUUUGUUGGAAAGCAAAUAUGCAGAGUAGGGAGAAGGCUCCCCCACUGCCACCCUCUGGCCGUGUGCGCUUUGAGAUAGCCACCCAGCCCACAGGAUGGUACGGCUGGUGGAGUUCUUGGAGACUCAGUUGAACAAAGUGGAGCCUGAGGUCUGUUGGAGAAGGGAGCUCAUUCGCUCAGCUCCAGGAGGCCACAGAUCGAGUUGUGCUGGGCCAUUUUGCUGAUAUCAAGUACCUGUGGCUUCGUCACCUGCACAGGCCAACCCAGCCCACACCAGGUCUCCAGCCAUUGCCUCAGCUGAACUCCCGUCCCUGAGACAAGAUGCUAAAGGAUGCCACUUCUGGUCUCAGACCAGGAGUCCCCUUCUUCCUCCAGAGGGGAACAGGAUGGAGAGGACCUGAGAGUGUGGAGUCUGUGAGGCUGGGUAUUUUACACACAUGCCUUUUCUCCUGUCGUGUCCGCCACAGCCCAGUGGCAUAGGAGCAAUUGUCCUUAUUUUAUGAAUGAGCAGAACGAGGCCCUGAGAAGUGAUGCUUGCCCAGGUCCUGCUAAGCCAGGAAGUGGCCCAGCAAAGCACUUCUCUGUUUCCUCUUCUGUUAAAAGCCAUCUGGGGUAGGGUUGCAGCCAGGGAGCUCCCUGCCCCAGAGGGAGAGCUGUCAGCCAGUGACGAGCUCAUCUCCUCCUCCCUCCCACACCACCCGCCAGUGUCACAUGGCGCCGGGAGGGAGCGGAGUCUGCGGGGGCGCCUCUCCUGGGAGGCUGUGCAGGGAGGCCUGGGAGCUGCACCCUGUGGAGGCUGGGGGGGGGGGGGGCACGGGAAGGGGAUGUGCACACGUUCAGGUGCCCACACGUGCUCUCUCGCUCUUUCUCUGCAGCUCCUCUGGAGGCCUGUCAGCCUGCUGGGGGGACUCGCACAGUGGAAGUCUCAAGUAUCAGAAUGUCAGGGAACCUUGGAGACCAGUGUGGCCAGAACCUCUCCCUUGUCAGUAAAAUCUAGAGCCUUGAAUGUAAGAAUUAGGGUGCAUGUGGGAUGAAGUCAGGGUCUUUUCAAGAACACACAGUGAGCAUAUCCAUUAAAUGCAAGGGCUCCAGUGUCAGACCACCAGGCUUAGAAUCUGGGCUCUUUCCCAGCUGGUUGACUGUAGACAAGUUCCUUGACCUCUCUGAGCCUCCAUUUCCUCAUCUACUUUAAGACAGUAUUUACUGAGCUCUUGCUUAGGGACAGGUAUGGUUCUAAGCUCUGUUCCUGUAUUUACUCCUCAAAACAACCCUAUGAAGCAAAUAGCUUUGUCAUCUAAUUUAGAUCUGAGGAAACUGAGGCACCGAGUGGUUAGGUCAUUGUCCAAGGCCACACAGCUGGGAAGCAAUGGAGCCAGGAUUUGAUCCCAGACAAUGAGGCUCUAGAGUUCCUGAGCUCAAUCACUAUUCCAUCUACCGUCUACUAAGAAUUAAAUGAAGUAAGGUGUACUAAGCACCGAGCACUUACAGGUGCUGGCUCGAAGUCCGCACUCAAUUAGUGAUUAUUAUCAUUAGCAACUAAGUCAUGGGCCUUUUGAGAAUCUAAUGAAAGUCACAGGCCUUCUUGGUGAAGACUGCACGUGCACACACAAACACCGCCUGUGGUUUCGGGGGCUCCUGCUCCUGAAGUCCAGCCACGAACCCGCCUUGGGACCUCUGCACGAGCCCAGCCCUGUUAUUGCACAGAAGCAAGGGAGAGGAGAGGGCGUGGUGAGCGUGUUCACAUCACAUAUUUCACUUGCUCCUCCGAGGCGGGUGCUGCUAGCCCGUUGGGCAGAUGAGAAAACUGAGGGAAAUGUCGAGAUCUCACAGCAAGCUGGCAGCAGACGUGACUCUCCUCUUCUUGCGGGGCUGCACCCUUCCCCCUGGCUGGGUUGCCUGCCCUGAAGCAGAGGUGAGGAACGGAGUCCCCGGGGCUGUGCCCUGAGGCGGUACACACUCAGUGAAGGAUAUUUGUGGAGCAAGCCAGUGAAAUGGGGUCAUCCGCGGGUUCACACUGGGCCAAGCCAUGUCCAAGGCUGGAUCUCAGAGGUUCACCUGGCCCAGCUCAUCUCCCAGUCCUGCGUGGCUCUUCAUGAGAAGGAGACAGAGGAAGAAAGGAAGGAAGUCAGCAGCCACUCCCACAGCCCCCUCUUGCACAGGCAAGGAAACUGAGGCCCGAGGUUGACUGACACACACAGUCACACACCGGGGCAGCAAGGUCUGGCCAUCGGGUCUCAGGCGGCGGUGGUCAGAAGGAAGGAGGACGGAACUCGGAGUCAGAACACUUAGGUCCAAAUCCUGUCCUUCGUUACUGCUGUGACUUCAGGCAAAUUGCAUGGCCAGUUUCCACAUCUGCAAAAUGAUGACAGCAUCUAUCUUGUAAAGCUGCUCUUGGAAUGAAACAAUUUGACAGUUGUCUAAUUGAGGCCAUCCAGCAUGUUCCCUCAUCUGUCAAACGACGACAGGUUGUUGUGAGGAUUAAGUGAGAACGUAGGUAGAGUGUCUGGCAUAAAACAAGCGUCCAGUAAGUGGCAGCUAUUACUGUAGGUGCUAUAGUUACAACGCUGAGUCCCACAGGAUAUGCCUCCAUGAACGUUGCAUGAAGGGGUAGAUGGACCAAGAGACAGGCUGACAGGUUGGUUGGCAGAGCAGUGGGAGUGGAGUGGGGAGAUGGAUGGAUGGGAGGAAGGUGAGGGAAUGGACGGAAGGGCAGGGAAGUUGGUAAGGGGAUAGGUGGAUGAUGGAUAUGUAGACCAACGCACAGGCAGAGAGAGAGGUUUUUGGGCAAACAAUAGGUGUAAGAGAAAGAGCAUAGGAUGGAUGAAUGGAUGGAUAGAUGGAUGGAUGGAUGGAUGGGUCGGAUGGAUGAGAUGAUGGACCAGUAACAAUCAGACAGACUGGUGGCUGUUCAGAUCAGUGGAUGGAUAGAUGGAUGGAUGGAUGGAUGGAUGGAUGGAAGGCUAGAUAUGUGGGUGGGGCAAUUGGAUAGGUGGGUGUAUGGAUGAAUGCACGGACCAAUGGGCAAGAAAAUAGAGAGAUGAAUGAAUGGAAGAUCAGAGAGUGGAUGAAUGGCUGGUGUUCCCUCCCCUUGAACUGCAGCUGAGGAGCUGGCAGUGGCAGCUACAGAACCACCAUGAACAUCCACGGGGUGGGGAGAGAGGUCAGGAGCUUAUUGCUCCAACAGGGUGACCCCAGAAGUGGGCAGUGAGUGGCUGCUUAUUGUGUUUCGAUGUCUGUGCUUGGAAUAGAAGCCCUGGGAGCAGGGUGACUGGGAUGAGGAGCUGCACAGGGUCCCCAUCCUCACAUGCACACGGACUCCUCAAUGCCGGUGCAGGCGGGAGGCUGGCCCCAGGAGGGCGCAGCUUCUGCCAGAGAUGGCAGCCUAGAAGGGACCCUUAGCUGGCGAGGCCUUUGGCAAAGGCAAACCAGAGUGUGUCCCUGGAGACUCCUUGGAUCUGGGCCAGAAGAACAAAACGUCCCGUUCACCGAGGGCUCUGCAGCGGGAGGGGCCCUGCUCCAGGAGGCAGGAGCCUUGGGCGUCACAGCUGGCACAGCCGCGGAUGUGCUGAGAGGCCCCGGACAAGCCCCUUCCCCUCCGCGUCCCAGCCUCCUUUCUUCAUCUGUAAUUGGAGCCAAAUGGCCUCCAAGCUCCCUCUGAGCGCUGACACUUUAGGACCACCUGAUUCUCAGGGUUCUGGAGCAUCGCAGGGAGGGGGAGGGGCCGUGGGCGGGUCCUGGGCGGAGGAGGGUGGUUAGCUAGCGGGUGGCCAUUCCACUCCUCAGACAGUGACCCAGGGUCUAAGGGCCCAUUGCAGGCUUUGAGCGUUUAGUGGACAAUGAGGACACCUUGCGAUGGCUCCCCACUUGGCUCAAGGAAAGCUGACGUCCACCCAAUGGCCACCGUGGUCUGUGACUCUGCCCCACCCCCCACCUCUCUGGUUUCUCCUCCUGCCACUGCCCUGUCUCUAACCCCCUAGGACCACACUGGCCUCUUCAGUGUUGCUUGAAUAUGCCAGGCAGCCCCCUCCUUGCUCUCGUGGUCACUCCUUCACCUCCCGCAGGACCUGUGUGUUUAUUGGCGUCUUCCCCCAGCAGUAGUAUUUGCGGUUAUCCAAUCGGGUAGUGUGAUGGUGAUGAGGGUGAGCGAAGAUGGAGCGCUCACCGCGUGCCAGGCGCGGGGCUCACGCACUCCCUGAUUCUGCAGGCGCCCCAGUGAGGUGGAUACUAUUAUUAUGUCCUAGUUCACAGAGGAGAGUCGAGGCUCAGAGAGGGAGAUUACUCAAGGCCCCACAGCAAGCCUGGGACCGAAUUGCCAGAGACGAGUCCAGGGUCAUCGCGAGAGCUCACGGAGUUAGCAGAGUCCCAGUGCUGCCACCACAGGACCUUGACUUGGGGAGAGUCCCUUUCUCUCUCCGAGCCUCAGUUUCUCCAUCUGUAAAAUGGGACAGCAGCAGCCUCGCCGUUACAGGGCUGUUGUGAGGUCUGAGGGUGCCAGUGGGUAUGAAUGCUUUAUGUAAGAACUGUGCCUUCUUGGCUGUGGGCCUGUGUCGCUGGGUGUUAAGGCACCACUGGAACCCCCACAUGCCGGGGGCAGGGAGACCUAUGCUCCCCUAGACAAGCCCAGGGCCCUGAGCUCGGUUUAGGAUAAUCCAGGAUAAUGUCACUAACUGGCUUAGGAUCGGGGAUCAAGUCCCUCCAUUCUAGGCCGCUCUUUCCUCCACCCCACUGGACACUGCCUCCAGGCGACUUCUCACAGCCUUGGGGACAGGGCUGGCCCUAAGCGGCAAGGCGGGCGGGGACAGGAAGGCCUCAGAGCUUUCCCAGGCUGGAGGCCACUAAGGAGCUGCUCUCGAAUUCCUGCACCACAGCUGGGCCGCUCCUGAUGUGGUUUUCCCAGACCCCGCUGGCCCCUGUCUGCUGGGGAUACACGGGGAGGAGCGGCGCUCCAGAUGGGGAGGGGAGGGCCUUGCCGAGAGGACUCCCUGGGGAUUCAGGGCCUGCACAUCCCCUGUCACUUAGGGACUCGAGUGCAACUCUCGGACAACUCCAGGCCUCAGUUUCCUCACUCGGAAAAUGGGUUUGGACUAGACGAUUUCGCCCAGGCUGCCCAGGGCUGGAGUCCAGAAGAGCAGAGCAAGGACCCCCAGGACGUGCCAGGAGACAGCACCCUCCCGCCACUCAUCUCGGUGGGACGGGGCAAGUUGACCCCUAACUCUGGCCUCAGGCUCCACGUCGUCGGUAAAAUGGGCUGGUUGAGCUGGAAGAUCCCGGGACUUAUAGCUGGAAGAGGAAAGAGCAUUUAGUGAGCUCCAACUGUAUGCCGGGGGCUUUUCAGACAUUAUCUCAUUUGUCUGUUUCUUAGUUUCCUGUGGCUGCUGUAAAAAAUGGCCCAGAGCCUCAUAGCUUAAACAACAUGCUUUUAUUACCUUACAGUUCUGGAGGUCCAAAGUCCGAGGUCUGUGUCACUGGGUGAAAGGUGUCAGCCGGGCUCUUCCUUCUGGGGGUUCUAGGGGAAAUUCCCUUCCCGGCUUUUCUAGAAUGGGUGCUGCCUUCAUUCCCACAUCACGUGGCCUUUCCUCCCUCUGCUGUCCCUUCUCUUCUUCCCACUCUGACGCUCCCACCUCCCUCUGAGAAGGAUCCUUGCAAUGACAUUAGGCCCACCUGGAUAAUCGGGGAUAAUGUUCCCAUCUCAAGAUCCUUCACUUCUUCCCAUCUGCAGAAUCCCUUUGCCAUCGGGAGGUGACAUUCACAGGGGUUCCCGGGAUUAGGGCGUGGAUCUCUCUGGAGGGUCAGUAUUCAGUUUAUACAUCUGUCAACACGAAUCUGUCUUGGGGCUCAGUUUCAAAUCCCAGCUUCUACUGCUCCGUAGCUGUGUGAGCCUGGGCAGGGACCCACCUUCUCUGGGCCUGUUUUCUCACCUGUAAAAUAGAGAUAAUGACAGGAUUAUCAGCAAUAAUGCAGGGGAAGCUCUGACCACAGGGCCUGCUACUGUUGUUGAGUGAAUGUAUAUAGUAAUCACACAGUAAUAAUCACAAUGGCUCUCGUUUAUUGAGGACUGACUUUGUGCCCGACGCUAAACUGAGGAAUGAAUUUAAUAGGUAAGCUAAAUAGAUAAGAUCCAGGCCUUCCUGGAACUUAGAUAGAACCCAGAAGACAGACUUAGAACAAACCAUCACAAACAUUACCAGGGAGGCCCAAGGGCGCACAGCUGGGAAGAGGAGAGGUGGACCGCAUUCACACCAAGUCUGUCGGAUUCCCAAGCCCUUAUUUCUCCACGACGCUCCCAGUCUCUCAAGGUCCGUUGGGGCCAACAGAGAACCAGAGAUGAGAAGGGACUUGCCAAAUUCAGAUCCAGUUCUCUGGGCUUCCUGCCCGAGGUUCUCCCCAGGGGAGACUCUGACAUGUAAAGUAGUAAUGGCUGGUGACAGACGUGCUCACAGAGGCUCGCUCUGGGCCAGAAGGCGGGAUGGAUAUUUUACACGACCGAUGUCAUUUGGUCUCCAGGAUGCCCCAGGAGAAAAGACACGUUGUCCUGUUUCCCAGAUGAAGAACCUCAAGUCGCAGGUCCUGUGACAUGCCCAGUGACACCCAGCGAGUUAAUUGCCAAGCAGAGACCCAGGACACUCACCAAGAGCAGGGCCCGGAGUAGAACUUCAAGUUCAAGUUCGCUUGACCCUAAAGCCCGUCCCUAACCCCAGCACAGCCUGCCUCUGCCAGCUGGCCCGUCUCAGUGGGAGGAGGUACCUGGCUGUGGUCCUGCAGUAACCCAGGGUGGAACUUGACAGCCUUCAGGGAGAUGGGUGGCCCGUUGGCACCACCUAGUGGCCUUAAGGAGACAUGCCGCUUCCCCCUGAGCCUCAAGGACCCAGAGGCGCCCGAGAGCUAUUAACAGAACUUCCUCACCCCCCAUCCAGCUGGAUCCUUGUAGCAAACCGACGAGGCUGAGUAAAAGUGAUGAAAAUGACCAUGCUCAUCUCGUUGUUGGGGAAACUGAGGCCCAGACGGGGGAACGACACACCAGCCAGUCAGGGGCAGACCCAGCGGCCUGGAGAGACUGGCAGGGAGGUGGGGCUUGUCCGGCACCUGCCCAACCUCUGGGACGGCAGAACAAGGGGACGCUUCGUGGUGCCUCAGUGGAGGGUGCAGACACUGAGGCCCGGAGGGGACAGGGGCCUGCCCAGGCUCCCACCAAAAGCCAGAGGCCAGGCCGGGACCCCAGGCGGCCGGUCCCCCUGCCCCUGCCCGAGGCAGAGACAGGGGCUCCAGGCCCGUUUGUGGGAAGACCACGGCAGACCAGAGCGUCAGGAUGGAUGUGAUGUGCUCCCCCGGGUGAGGCCUCGGAGGGCCCAGAGCCAGGGCUAGGAGGAAGGUGGGGCUGGUGGGAGCUGACUAUGGGCUGAUUCCUGAGGACGGGGGAGGCGGCUGGUAGGAGAAAUGGACUGUCCUGGUGGAAGUGGUGACGGAGGCUCCUCCCACAGAGACAUCCCAUGAUUCUCAGGGACAGCCAUGGCUGGGGAAAUCCCAUGAUUCUCAGGGACACUCAUGGCUGGGGGAAUCCCGUGAUUCUUAGGACAUAGUCCUUGCCCUCCAGGAGCUUCCUGUCUCCUUUAUUCGGUCUAGCAUCACUGAGCACCUACUCUGAGCCGCCCCAGGUGGGGUGCUAGGGACCCACAGAGCAACCUGGCCCUUCCUGCUGUGCAGGAUCCCACAGCCCAUGGAGCAGACACAUAGAUAACAGAGCUCGAGAACUGAGCAAGAUGAGUCAGUGAGGCCCCGGGGCUAUGGACCUUGCAGCCAGGCACACCUAACUGAUGGUACUAACAAAAACAGUGCCAGCAUUUAUUGAGUGCCUGCUGGUGCCAGGCACUGGUGUAAGCAUGUUCCAUGUAUUAGCUGAUUUGGUGAGAUCCUGAUGCUUACUAGCUGUGUGACUUUGGGCAAAUUACUUCACCUCUCUGAUCUUUGAGAUCCUCAUCUACAAGAUGAGAGCCAUAAUAUCUACCUUACUAGGUUCUUGUGGGGUUUAAAUGUCACGGGGUGUGUGUCUGUGUGUGUGUGGUGCCUGGAAUACAGCAGGUAUUCCAUAAACGGUUGCCACCAUCAAUGUAAUGAGUGCUCUGGUGGAGCGGUGCUGAAGAGGCCUCAUACAACCCCAUGCAUCUGCUGAGUGUUAUCUUAGGUUGGGGAUAGUUGUGAUGGAGGUCAGAGGUCAGGGAGGUCAGAGGUCGGGGAAAGCAGGUUAGGACAGAUCCCUGGACAGGAGGGGAGCCCUGCCAGGGCCUGAGAAGAGGGCUGCCCUGCCCUCUCCUCCUGCUGCUUCUCCUCCUUGGCUCCCUCUGCCCUCCCGGCCCCCCCAUUCCCACACCCCCGCUCUGGGCCAGGCCCCAGUAUCUCUCCCACCUGCUCCCUGUUUCCUCUGCCUCACCACCCACGCCUCCUCCUGGCAGCCAGAGGGAGCUUCUGGAACGGCAAACCCGUCCCUGCCUCCCUCCUGCUGGUCGAUCCCGCCCCCGGGAAAGCCCAUCCGACUGUGAUGUUCAAGGCCCCUCCCUCCGCACCAGCCAUUUCCCUCUAUCCUCCCUGUGUCCACGGAGACCCUGAGGUUCAGUGGUCUGAAGCCACAGCGAGCUGCCCUCCGGUCCCUAAGAGACCCUGCAGGCUCCCCCCGGGGGGUGUCCCAGGCCUUUGUCCCCCGCCUCACCUUCCAGACUCCUGUGUUUCUCCUGCAGGGGGCCUUCCACGCACGCCCCCAUAUUUUCAGAGAGAGCACCCCCACGCCAGCUUUACUCCCACCCCCGGGCCACAGGGUCCCCCACACUGGCUCCUUGGUCCCUCUCCCUUCCUAGAGGAUUACGUUAAAGGAAGCGAGACUGUCAUCAGGCAAUGCUUAGGAUGGCGGCCCAGUCAACAUCAGAGUGUCGAGUGAGGAUCCCGACCCUCACGUCCCCAGCACUCACUCGGCCCCAGGCCCUGUGCUAGGGGCUUCCCUUGUAGAAACGCCUAUAGGAAGUGGGAACGGUUAUUAUCCCCCUUUUAUAGACGGGGAAACUGAGUCAAAGAGGGACGCACGCAAGCGAGCGUUAGAGCCAGGCAGGCCGGCCCUCUCAUGGCACAGGCGCUGUUCCCUCUGCCUGGGACUGCCUCCCCCGACCCUUCCAUGGCGGGCUGGGUCCACCCUCAGGCUCAAACCCACCCCAACCCUCCUGAAGAGGCCUUCCCUCUGACCACUGUCACAUGCCACCCUGUUCAUCUUCACAGGAUGCGUCUCCAGCUGUUUCUUUGGGUUCGCCAUGCUGGUUUUUGCCAUUUACACACACAGUCACGCUCAGCCAUGACAUCAACAACGGUGGUCUUGCUUCCUGUCUGGCCCCAAGGCAUGGCACAGUGCGGCCAGCCUCCGAGAUGGCUCCCCAGAGAUCCUGGCGUCCACACCUUUGUGUCAUCCCCUCCCACAGCCAGCAGCUCGGACUUGUGUCACCAACAGGAUACUGCGUAGGUGACAGAGUGUGACUUCCGAGCUUAGGUCAUAGGAGACAUCGCAGCUGCCGCCUUGUUCUCGCGGGUCGCUCAGUCUGGGGAAGCCAGCCGCCGUGUGGUGAGGACAUCCAAGCGGCCCUGUGGAGAGGCCCAUGUGGCCAGGAAGUGAGGCCUCUGCCAACAGCCAGUGUGAGCCUGCCACCAGGGGAGGAAGCCACCUUGGAAGAGGGUCCUCCAGCCCCAGUCCAGCCUUUGGAUGCCUGUGGCCCGGUCGACAGCCUGACACAGCCUCACGGGAAACCUGAGCUGGAACCACACAGCUCCCAAGCUCCUGACCCACAGAAACAAUGUGAGAUAACAAAUUUUCACUAUUUUAAGCCACUAAGUUUUGAAGUACUUUGUUAUGAAGCAAAAGAUAAGGAAUUCAACCCGCAGUAAGUAUUCAUAUAAAUAGGUGUAUGGAUGGCCGGCAAAUGAUGACACCACCUCCCACUCGCCGGGCCCUUCCUCUGUCUGGGGCACUGAAUUAAGUGGCUCACCUGUCUUGGUUCAUAGUCAAUCGUCACAGCAACCUAUGAGCCAGCCAUCACCCCACGCCCAUUUUAUGGAUGAAGAACCAGGUACAGUGAGGUUGAAUAACUCACCCAGCAUCACACCGGCAGAGCCCAGACUCGCUCCCUGGCAGGUGGGGGCCGUAGGAUUCACUGCUGCACCACACGGUGGCUGCUGUCCCAUCCCAGUCCUCCUUGCCAACCCCCUGGGGCUUGGAGGGGUCCCUCCCACAGGUUGUGUGGCUCUGCAGAGGCUGACCUUGGAGGUGAGUGGACACGGAGGUGGAGCUGGGAAAUGCCAAGCUCGUGACCCGGAGCAACUCCUCUCAUCCGGCUUCUGGGAGCUCUGUCCUCUCCCCACCUGUGGACGCCAGUUGGACGGGAUGGGGGCAGGGCCGCUUCUGUUGAGUCACUCGCAGUGGAUCCGAGUCUCCGUGGGGGUGGGGUGGGGGUCGGGGAGCUCAGGUUCCGGUAGCCUUGUCAUCACUGCUCCUAUGCAAGCCCGCUAAGGUUAUACCCCCCGGACACUGGCUGGACACUCGCAGGACCUCGGAGGCUCCGUUCUCUGGAUCCGAAACAAUACAGUGGGGGCAGAGCUAAAAAUAACAGUGGAAAACCACCGGCCCCACUUGCCCUCUAAGAAAAGGAGGCUGAAUGGGUCUGAGGCUUCUGGGGAGCACGGAGCGCUCAUGCCCCCGAAUCAUGUGAAGGGAACUGGGCUACGCUGAGCAGGCCCCUUGUGAGAGGUGUGAGGUACAAGGGACCCGGGCAUAGGCAGCCGGGGCCCAGCUUGGGCUCCACCUGUCACACUCACUGUGUGACCUCAGGGUAGUUGCUUAACAUCUCUGUGCCUCUGAAAAAUUCAUUUGAAAAAUUGAGACAACGAUGGCACCUGCUCCCCAAGAGUGACUGAGCUCGUGCCCCAGGGUCUCCAGCUCACCUGGGGGUGGUCUUUCCAGUGACCUCACAGGCGGGGAGCUGUGACUGCCAUUUACAGAUGAGGAAAUGCGGUUAAGACUCUCAGGGGCCACACAGAGCUAAGAAGAGGCAGAAACAGUCAGGGUUCAAGCCUGAACAAUGUCAUUGCCUCUAUGUCACCUGGCCCCUAUUCACUUUUGAGCCAUCAGAACCUGCCACUGUGUGUGGCACCUGUUAGAUGCGGUCACUGUUGUCAAGCAAAUGGAUAGAAUGGAUUGGGUGGGCAGAAAGUGAACUCCCCGUCACUCCAGAGGUAUGCAAGCACAGCCUGGGGCCUGGUAGGGGUCCUCAAGCAUUGGAUUUGGGGUUGAACUCAAUAUCAUUUAAGGUCCUCCCUGCCCCUGGAUGCCAGGGCUCAUCACCGUCCUCCCCAGGAAGACAAAGAAGACACAGAGAUUAUUAGGUCUGUUUUAUAGUGGGCGAAACUGAGGCCCAGAGCCAGGUUUUGCCCAAGGUCACUCCCUCAGGCCCAGGUGAAGCUGGCUGGGGCCUCAGUCAAGGUGGAUGCUCACUCAUUCAGCCCCAGCAGGAAGGUGGGCUCCUGCCUCUGAGCGACUAGAGAGGCAGGCGGGUGACAUGAGGACACAGGACAUGGGGAAGCCGAGGGCAAGCCCUAGAGGCGUGCUGGGCCAGGGAGCGGGCGAGGCCGGCAGCAAGGGGGCCCUGGGGCUUCUUCGGUCUCCCUCCCUCAUCCGACAGGUGAACAGACGAAGACCCCGAGAGGGGAUUCCCUGCUCCAGGUCCGUCUGUUACACGGGGACAGGCUGGGGACAGGCCUGCUGAGAAGGAGCGGGAGGCACAGGCCUGGACGUGGCAGGGCCUGAGGCUCCAGCAAGGGUGGGGGUCACUAGGUGGGCAGGAGCCAGACUGGACUCGGGGUCUUCUGACCUCGCUCAGCCCCUCCCUCCGGAGACCCUUUUCCAAGCACUCAGGAUGGGCAAAGCCCUUUUCCAGAUGCGCCGCGCAGAUGCCCUCCUUUCUCCUAUGGUCAGGACUGAGAAUUCCAUCACCUCCAUUUCUUCAGAAGAGGAAACGACGGCCAGAGAGGUUAAGCAAUUUGCCUGAGGCCACAGAGCCAGCAAGGGGGCUGGGGGUGAAACUCUGGCAGUGGCUGCUAAGUCCCAGGUCUUGCCCCCCCGUCACCCUGGCUCUGGCGGCCUCCCCCUGAGGGUGGAGGAUGGACCACCUCCUUUCCCUCCAAGGUCAUCUCAGCGACCUUCAGGGGCCUCUCUCAAGCUCAGCAUCCACCCCUCGGGCCCCGGCCAAGACGUGGCAGCCCGUGCCCAGGACGGGGGCAGGUGGCGAGCAGCCAACAGGGGUGUGCUGUGAGCCUGGAGCACCCACGCGUGCCAUCCACCCCACGGGCACCUCCUUCAUCACCAGCGCUUUGGGGCUAUAACUCAUGUUCUGCACACUUACCCAUCUAAAGCGCACGGCUCGGUGGCUUCGGUCACUUCCCAGAGUAUCCACAUUCUCAUCACCCGGAAAGAACCCUCACCUCUCAGCGGUCGCUCCCUUCCCCCUCCUCUGCCCCAGGCCCCCACGCAUCUCCUUCCUGUCUCUGUAGAUUUGCCUAUUGUGGCGGGUUCCAUAAUGGAAGGGCAAGACCCGGGAUACCUCCUUUUGAAGCCUUGGGCAGUAAGACGGUGUUCUCCCCAUUUCACAGUAAGGGAACUGCAGCUCAGAGUGGUCAAGUAACUUACCCAAGGUCACCCAGCUCAGAAAUGGUGGGAGGAUUUGGGCUAUGUCUCUCUGGCUCCAGAGACCCCAGGCCACCCUCUGUGGCCUGGAGCCCAGAGUUGCCUGACAGCUUCAAGGGCCUGGGGGCCAGGGAGUGGGAGGGAGGCUGAGAGCAUGGGGGAGUUUGAGGGUGUGGAGGGCCCAGAGGAGGCACCGGGUCUGGUCACCAGGUACCAGGAUCAGAGGGAAGAAAAGAAAUGGGCCCGGCAGGUGGGGGGCGGGGGCCGGCAGACUGGGGAAGGGGGCUACCCUCCCCUAGGUGGCAGUCUGGCCCUGGCUGUCUGUCCUUUCCUGCUGAUCGGUCCAGGCACAGCCCCAGGAUGCCUUCCCCGCUGCUGCCUCCUCUCCCUCUGGAAACAGCCCUCUCCCCUGACUCGUGUAGACCACGGCCCCGGAGGAUGACUCAGCCUGAGCCCUGGAGCCAGCUGUCCCUCUGCCUCCUCCUCCUCCCCAGCUGUCCCCCUCUGGCAGAAGUUCCCGGGACGUGAUUGUCACCAACCCCAGGCUGGCUGUGCCAGGAUGGCUGCGGCCAGCACCCGAGGGCGGGGUGGCUCUGCCUGCAUGUCCUCCGGGCCGGCCUCUGGCCAGGGCACUCAUGCCCUUUGAGUCAGGGGGCCCUGCUCACCCCUUACUGGUGAGCCCCCUUCAGAUAAACAUGAGAACCUCAGGUCCUCUUGUACUUUUAAAGUCAUUUCCAUAUUUUGACCAAAGGAAACCGAAUUUUAGAAUUUGCUCUUUCAGGCUACUCUCAGCUUGGGACCCCAGUCUGGUCCAUCCCACCAGCCCCCUUGGGAAUCUCAAUUUACUGAACCCCUGACACAUAGAUCAAGUUUCCCCUUGGGUGGAUGGGGAAACUGAGGCUCAGAGGAGAAAAGGGACUUGCCCAAGGUCAGCCGCUGGAAGGGACAGGCUUGGGGGGUGGGGCUCCCAGCACCAGGGUCCCCAGGAAAUGGAAUUCUGAGAGGACAGCUGUGGGCCUAGCCUUCCAGGGCCAGGAGGGGGGCCACUGUGACCCUUAGUGGCCCAACAGUCAAAUGAUAGCAGCAGCUGCUUAGUAAGCUCGAGUCUCAAACCUUUAUUCCCUUUUUCAUCCACGAAUUCAUUUAGGGCCUGGGUUGGAAGACCAGCUCCAGUAAACUUAGUGCUCUGUGACUUUGGGCAAGUCAGUUAACCUCUCUGGGACUCAGUCUCCUCAUCGAUAAGAGGGGUGUGAUGAUAACAGCGCCUGCCUCCCAGGGCUGGAGUGAAGAGGGAAUGAGUCACUGUGUGGACAGUGCGUAGAAAGCGCCCAGCACUGUCGGGGGCCUGAGGAAGGUGAGCUGACAUUGUUAUUAGGAUUCCUGGUGACUGCAUGUGUGGCAGAGCCACUUCCACUCCCCUGGGUUCACCCUGUGGUGCUCAUGCCCAACCAUUUGCUGUUCCUGGAAUAUCCUGGGCUCUCCCACGUCCCCGUCACUUUGCAUGCUCUGGUCCGUCUUCCCUCCCAAAAGAGAGACUUUCUGGUCAGCUCGGACUCACUCCUGGAGUCCCACUUUGGGGAGCAUGUCCUCUCCCCCUGCCGGCCCAGCCUGGAACAGGCCCCGCGCUUGCCGGCAUGGCCUCCCUCAGGGCACUGACCACAUGGUGCUCUAUCCUCGACGCUGUGUCUGCAGGGACCCCAGCAACAAGGACUGUUGGCAAGCUGUGGGCCAAUGGGUGGAAUCCAGGGCUGGUCACGGAGAGCAGCUGAUUCUGCUCCUCAUGCAAAGGGAGGGGGCAGCUGUGGGAACUGGGAAGGGGAAACACCCUGGAGAGGCCCCUGCAGGAAAUGUGGGUUCUCCUGGAGGGAUGGAGCCAGCCUGCGGCUACCCAGCAGGGCAGGGUCAGGGGAGCAGACGGUCCAGCUUCACUCUCCCCAAACUCCAACCUCCAGCACUUCCCCACUGCAAGCCGAGGGCGGGGAGCCCGGGAUGCUGUCCAUCGGGUUGGCCUUCAGGCAGAGAGCAGGGGGCUGGGAGGAGAGUGGGUCUGGAGAGGCAGAGAGAGACCCCGAGCUCUCGUGUCUGUCUCCCUGCCAUGCCGUGAGGCCCAGCGCCGAUGGAGAGCAAGUGUAGAGGCUUCACAGUGUGUCUGCACGUCCUCGGGCUGUCCCUCCGUCAAGAGAUGGAACCCAGGUCCCCUCGCUGGAACACGGCUGGGUCGGUGACGGGCUCCUCAAGAGCGGAAUGUGGGGGGGGUCACUGUGUGAUCCGAAGGGCGAGGUCACGAAAGCGAGGCAGCGUCCGCCCGGCCGUGUCUCUUGGGUCCCUUGCGCUUGCAACCAAGUGUCCACAUUACAAGGAAGCCGAGUGACCACGUGGCUGUAUCCAGCAGACAGCAGGCCGCGGUGUGGGCGAGCCUGGAGACGAGGACUGCAGCCCAGACCCCGAGCGACCUGAGCCUGCGCCCCCUCACUGCGCUGGUUGACCCCGAGAGCAGGGAGAGGCCAUAAUAAAAUAUUGAACUGUUGUGUUUGAAAC